rnacentral:SRP_RNA from 1 species
CUCGUGGGGAGGCUGCUGUUCCUGACCUCAAGGAGGCUUUGAAGCCUGUUUCCAGCUCCAGGUUGGAUAUCCAGCAACUAGAGGUGACUGUGUUGAGGGAUUGCGCUGGGGAGAAGCUAGGG